rnacentral:rRNA from 1 species
AAUCAACGCUGGCGGCGUGCCUAACACAUGCAAGUCGAACGCGAAAGUCCCGCAAGGGAUUAGUAGAGUGGCAAACGGGUGAGUAACACGUGGGUGACCUGCCUUCGAGUGGGGGAUAACGUCCCGAAAGGGACGCUAAUACCGCAUGACAUCCUGUCUUUUUAACAGGCGGAGAUCAAAGCUGGGGGAUCGCAAGACCUAGCGCUUGAAGAGGGGGCCCGCGUCUGAUUAGCUAGUGGUGAGGUAACGGCUCACCAAGGCGACGAUCAGUAUCCGGCCUGAGGAGGGCGGGACGGACACACUGGGACUGAGACACGGCCCAGACUCCUACGGGAGGCAGCAGGUGGGGAAUUGUUCGCAAUGGGCGCAAGCCUGACGACGCAACCGCCGCGUGGAGGAUGAAGAUCUUCGGGUCGUAAACUUCCUUUCGAUCGAGACGAACGGCUCC